rnacentral:rRNA from 1 species
AUUGAACGCUGGCGGCAGGCCUUACACAUGCAAGUCGAACGAGUGGCGGACGGGUGAGUAAUGUCUGGGAAACUGCCCGAUGGCGGGGGAUAACUACUGGAAACGGUAGCUAAUACCGCAUACCAUUGGAUGUGCCCAGAUGGGAUUAGCUAGUAGGUUGGGUAAUGGCUCACCUAGGCGACGAUCCCUAGCUGGUCUGAGAGGAUAACCAGCCAAACUGGAACCGAGACACGGUCCAGACUCCUACGGGAGGCAGCAGUGGGGAAUAUUGCACAAUGGGCGCAAGCCUGAUUCAGCCAUGCCGCGUGUAUGAAGAAGGCCUUCGGGUUGUAAAGUACUUUCAGCGGGGAGGCGUUACCCGCAGAAGAAGCACCGGCUAACUACGUGCCAGCAGCCGCGGUAAUUC